rnacentral:RNase_P_RNA from 1 species
GUGGUUGGUCGGACGGUCGCGGCAUUCGAACACGUUCGGGUGUCGAGGAAAGUCCGGGCUCCUUGGACAGACUGCCAGGUAACGCCUGGGCGUGAGGCGAGUGAUUGCCGCACGACGGACAGUGCCACAGAAAACAGACCGCCUUAACAGGCAAGGGUGAAAAGGUGGGGUAAGAGCCCACCGCAUUUCCGGCAACGGGAAUGGCAUGGUAAACCCCAGUCGGAGCAAGGCCAAAUAUGCGGCGAAAGGUCGUCCACCUUGAGAAAGACGCCGCGGGUAGGCUGCUAGAGGGUGCGGGCGACCGCAUUCGGAGAGAGAUGACCGUCCAGUCGCUUCGCGCGAUGGACAGAACCCGGCUUACAGACUGACUACUUCU